rnacentral:rRNA from 1 species
AGACACGCUGGCGGCGUGCCUAACACAUGCAAGUCGAACGGAGAAGUUGAUUUCGGUUGACUUCUUAGUGGCGAACGGGUGAGUAACGCGUGAACAACCUGACCUCAAGAGGGGGAUACCAACGAGAAAUCGUUGUUAAUACCGCAUAAGACCACAGCGCCGCAUGGCAAAGGGGUCAAAGGAGCAAUCCGCUUGAGGAGGGGUUCACGUCCCAUUAGGUAGUAGGCGGGGUAACGGCCCACCUAGCCAGCGAUGGGUAGCCGAGCUGAGAGGCUGAACGGCCACACUGGAACUGAGACACGGUCCAGACUCCUACGGGAGGCAGCAGUGGGGAAUAUUGGGCAAUGGGCGCAAGCCUGACCCAGCAACGCCGCGUGAGGGAAGAAGGUUUUCGGAUUGUAAACCUCUGUCGCAGAUGACGAAGGAAGUGACGGUAAUCUGUGAGGAAGCCCCGGCUAACUACGUG